GACAUAAAGGCAUUUCGAUUCCAAUUAAUUCCAAUAUUGGUAAAUUUUCAUACAAAAAGCUAAGAUAUAUUGCAAAUGCACGAAACAACAUAUAUCGAACUUUUCUAUCAUUCUUGGAAGUAAAUACCAGUCAAAGUACAAACAUUCCCAUUAAAGCUCAUUAAUUUCAUAAGAAGACGAGUGUUGAGAAAAACCUUCAUAACUACUCUAUUCUAUAAUACAUCAAAAAGCAGAAACAUAACAUACAUGAGGAAGUUAAGACGUACCUUUCGCGAGUCCCUGCAGCGACGUAAAUUCCGAGCGCAGCCUUAAGAAGAACUGAUGGUGUAAAGAGCUUUGUUCGAGUCCAAGCCACGUCUGUCGCGGUGUGCCUGGUGAAGACGAGCACGGAGAGCUUCCGCCCCUUCGUUGAUGAUUUGAGAUUGAUGCUGAUCUAUAU